AUUGAACGCUGGCGGCAGGCUUAACACAUGCAAGUCGAGCGGGGGAAGGUAGCUUGCUACCGGACCUAGCGGCGGACGGGUGAGUAAUGCUUAGGAAUCUGCCUAUUAGUGGGGGACAACAUCUCGAAAGGGAUGCUAAUACCGCAUACGUCCUACGGGAGAAAGCAGGGGAUCUUCGGACCUUGCGCUAAUAGGUGAGCCUAAGUCGGAUUAGCUAGUUGGUGGGGUAAAGGCCUACCAAGGCGACGAUCUGUAGCGGGUCUGAGAGGAUGAUCCGCCACACUGGGACUGAGACACGGCCCAGACUCCUACGGGAGGCAGCAGUGGGGAGUAUUGGACAAUGGGGGGAACCCUGAUCCAGCCAUGCCGCGUGUGUGAAGAAGGCCUUAUGGUUGUAAAGCACUUUAAGCGAGGAGGAGGCUACUUUAGUUAAUACCUAGAGAUAGUGGACGUUACUCGCAGAAUAAGCACCGGCUAACUCUGUGCCAGCCGCCGCGGUAA
rnacentral:rRNA from 1 species